AGCAGCCGCGGUAAUUCCAGCUCCAAUAGCGUAUAUUAAAGUUGUUGCAGUUAAAAAGCUCGUAGUUGAAUUUCGGGAUCAAUAUGUCGGUCGUGCUUUUUGGUAUGUACUGGCGUUAUUGGUUUCUCCCUUCUGACGAACCAUGAUGUCAUUAAUUUGGUGUUAUGGGGAAUUAGGACUGUUACUUUGAAAAAUUAGAGUGUUUAAAGCAGGCAUUAGCUUGAAUACAUUAGCAUGGAAUAAUGAAAUAGGACGUUCGAACCUAUUUUGUUGGUUUCUAGGAUCAACGUAAUGAUUAAUAGGGAUAGUUGGGGGCAUUAGUAUUCAAUUGUCAGAGGUGAAAUUCUUGGAUUUAUUGAAGACUAACUACUGCGAAAGCAUUUGCCAAGGAUGUUUUCAUUAAUCAAGAACGAAAGUUAGGGGAUCGAAGACGAUCAGAUACCGUCGUAGUCUUAACCAUAAACUAUGCCGACUAGGGAUCGGAUGAUGUUAAUUUUUAAUGACUCAUUCGGCGUCCGUU
rnacentral:rRNA from 1 species